AGUAUGGGAUAGCCMCUAGAAAUGGUGGGUAAUACUGUAUAAUCCCUGCGGGGGAAAGAUUUAUCGCUAUUAGAUGAGCCUAUGUUAGAUUAGCUAGUUGGUAGGGUAAAGGCCUACCAAGGCGAUGAUCUAUAGCUGGUCUGAGAGGAUGWYCAGCCACACUGGAACUGAGAUACGGYCCAGACUCCUACGGGAGGCAGCAGUGGGGAAUAUUGGACAAUGGGCGCAAGCCUGAUCCAGCUAUGCCGCGUGAGUGAGGAAGGCCUUAGGGUUGUAAAACUCUUUCAGUAGGGAAGAUAAUGACGGUACCUACAGAAGAAGUCCCGGMAAACUCCGUGCCAGCAGCCGCGGUAAUACGGAGGGGGCAAGCGUUGUYCGGAAUUAUUGGGCGUAAAGGGCAUGUAGGCGGUUCGGUAAGUUHAAGGUGAAAUGCCHGGGCUUAACCCUGGAGCUGCUUUUAAUACUGCCAGACUAGAGUCCGGGAGAGGAUAGCGGAAUUCCUAGUGUAGAGGUGAAAUUCGUAGAUAUUAGGAGGAACWCCAGUGGCGAAGGCGGCUAUCUGGUCCGGUACUGACGCUGAGGUGCGAAAGCGUGGGGASCAAACHGGAUWAGAUACCCUGGUAGUCCACGCUGUAAACGAUGAGUGCUGAAUGUGGGGAUUUUUUAUCUCUGUGUUGUAGCUAACGCGUUAAGCACUCCGCCUGGGGACUACGGUCGCAAGACUAAAACUCAAAGGAAUUGACGGGGACCCGCACAAGCGGUGGAGCAUGUGGUUUAAUUCGAUGCAACGCGAAAAACCUUACCACUCCUUGACAUGGAGAUUAGAUCCUUCUUAACGGAAGGGCGCAGUUCGGCUGGAUCUCGCACAGGUGCUGCAUGGCUGUCGUCAGCUCGUGUCGUGAGAUGUUGGGUUAAGUCCCGCAACGAGCGUAACCCUCAUCCUUAGUUGCCAGCGGGUUAAGCCGGGCACUUUAAGGAAACUGCCAGUGGUAAACUGGAGGAAGGUGGGGAUGAUGUCAAGUCAGCACGGCCCUUAUGGGGUGGGCUACACACGUGCUACAAUGGUGACUACAAUAGGUUGCAAUGUCGCAAGGCUGAGCUAAUCCGUAAAAGUCAUCUCAGUUCGGAUUGUCCUCUGCAACUCGAGGGCAUGAAGUC
rnacentral:rRNA from 1 species